rnacentral:rRNA from 1 species
UACGGAGGGAGCGUAGCGUUGUUCGGAAUUACUGGGCGUAAAGCGCACGUAGGCGGCUUUGUAAGUUAGAGAUGAAAGCCCGGAGCUCAACUCCGGAAUUGCCUUUAAGACUGCAUCGCUAGAAUUGUGGAGAGGUAAGUGGAAUUCCGAGUGUAGAGGUGAAAUUCGUAGAUAUUCGGAAGAACACCAGUGGCGAAGGCGACUUACUGGACACAUAUUGACGCUGAGGUGCGAAAGCGUGGGGAGCAAACAGG